UUGACAGAGAGCUUUCUAUCAUGCCUUCAGGAUGUAAACUACAUUACGCAGGCAGAUACAACACAUCCCCUUAAACUUUGUGCCUGUCUUUUGUUCACGAGUUGGAAGAUCAGCUGCCUGCUGCCUCUCCAAAUGUACAGCAUUUGGAAAUGGUGAUGGUGAGGACAAACUGGAGGAAAGGAAUAACAUUCACCAGAGAGGAAGAAAACAACAAC